AAGUCGAACGAACUCUGGUAUUGAUUGGUGCUUGCAUCAUGAUUUACAUUUGAGUGAGUGGCGAACUGGUGAGUAACACGUGGGAAACCUGCCCAGAAGCGGGGGAUAACACCUGGAAACAGAUGCUAAUACCGCAUAACAACUUGGACCGCAUGGUCCGAGCUUGAAAGAUGGCUUCGGCUAUCACUUUUGGAUGGUCCCGCGGCGUAUUAGCUAGAUGGUGGGGUAACGGCUCACCAUGGCAAUGAUACGUAGCCGACCUGAGAGGGUAAUCGGCCACAUUGGGACUGAGACACGGCCCAAACUCCUACGGGAGGCAGCAGUAGGGAAUCUUCCACAAUGGACGAAAGUCUGAUGGAGCAACGCCGCGUGAGUGAAGAAGGGUUUCGGCUCGUAAAACUCUGUUGUUAAAGAAGAACAUAUCUGAGAGUAACUGUUCAGGUAUUGACGGUAUUUAACCAGAAAGCCACGGCUAACUACGUGCCAGCAGCCGCGGUAAUACGUAGGUGGCAAGCGUUGUCCGGAUUUAUUGGGCGUAAAGCGAGCGCAGGCGGUUUUUUAAGUCUGAUGUGAAAGCCUUCGGCUCAACCGAAGAAGUGCAUCGGAAACUGGGAAACUUGAGUGCAGAAGAGGACAGUGGAACUCCAUGUGUAGCGGUGAAAUGCGUAGAUAUAUGGAAGAACACCAGUGGCGAAGGCGGCUGUCUGGUCUGUAACUGACGCUGAGGCUCGAAAGUAUGGGUAGCAAACAGGAUUAGAUACCCUGGUAGUCCAUACCGUAAACGAUGAAUGCUAAGUGUUGGAGGGUUUCCGCCCUUCAGUGCUGCAGCUAACGCAUUAAGCAUUCCGCCUGGGGAGUACGGCCGCAAGGCUGAAACUCAAAGGAAUUGACGGGGGCCCGCACAAGCGGUGGAGCAUGUGGUUUAAUUCGAAGCUACGCGAAGAACCUUACCAGGUCUUGACAUACUAUGCAAAUCUAAGAGAUUAGACGUUCCCUUCGGGGACAUGGAUACAGGUGGUGCAUGGUUGUCGUCAGCUCGUGUCGUGAGAUGUUGGGUUAAGUCCCGCAACGAGCGCAACCCUUAUUAUCAGUUGCCAGCAUUAAGUUGGGCACUCUGGUGAGACUGCCGGUGACAAACCGGAGGAAGGUGGGGAUGACGUCAAAUCAUCAUGCCCCUUAUGACCUGGGCUACACACGUGCUACAAUGGAUGGUACAACGAGUUGCGAACUCGCGAGAGUAAGCUAAUCUCUUAAAGCCAUUCUCAGUUCGGAUUGUAGGCUGCAACUCGCCUACAUGAAGUCGGAAUCGCUAGUAAUCGCGGAUCAGCAUGCCGCGGUGAAUACGUUCCCGGGCCUUGUACACACCGCCCGUCACACCAUGAGAGUUUGUAACACCCAAAGUCGGUGGG
rnacentral:rRNA from 2 species